AGUGAACGCUGGCGGUAGGCCUAACACAUGCAAGUCGAACGGCAGCACAGUAAGAGCUUGCUCUUACGGGUGGCGAGUGGCGGACGGGUGAGGAAUACAUCGGAAUCUACUUUUUCGUGGGGGAUAACGUAGGGAAACUUACGCUAAUACCGCAUACGACCUACGGGUGAAAGCAGGGGAUCUUCGGACCUUGCGCGAUUGAAUGAGCCGAUGUCGGAUUAGCUAGUUGGCGGGGUAAAGGCCCACCAAGGCGACGAUCCGUAGCUGGUCUGAGAGGAUGAUCAGCCACACUGGAACUGAGACACGGUCCAGACUCCUACGGGAGGCAGCAGUGGGGAAUAUUGGACAAUGGGCGCAAGCCUUAUCCAGCCAUACCGCGUGGGUGAAGAAGGCCUUCGGGUUGUAAAGCCCUUUUGUUGGGAAAGAAAAGCAUCAGGUUAAUACCCCGCUGUUCUGACGGUACCCAAAGAAUAAGCACCGGCUAACUUCGUG
rnacentral:rRNA from 1 species